AGAUUCCGGAGAGGGAGCCUGAGAAACAGCUAUCACUUCCACGGAAGGCAGCAGGCGCGCAAAUUGUCCAAUCCCAAUAGAUUGGGGAGACAGUGAAAAGAAAUAUCAAUGCAGGGCUUUAAGCUUUGCAAUUGGAAUGAGUUUAACCCAAAUGCCUUUACAAGUAUCAAUUGGAGGGCAAGUCUGGUGCCAGCAGCCGCGGUAAUUCCAGCUCCAAUAGCGUAUAUUAAAGUUGUUGCAGUUAAAACGCUCGUAGUUGAAAUUUUGGUAACAAUAAUGGGUUAUCUCUUUGAGUAUAUACCUAUUGUUGUUAUCAUUGUUCUGCAUUAUGCACAGGGUAAUGCUUGUGUAUAGUCGGAAUCGUUACUUUGAGAAAAUUAGAGUGUUUCAAGCAGGCGUGAUGCUU
rnacentral:rRNA from 1 species